rnacentral:lncRNA from 1 species
ACCACAUGUAUGUCCUUCAGAAUGAAAAAGAAUUAUCCUCUUUCUCAGUAUUCACAGGACACUGUGGUACAGAGGUCCAGCUGGCAAUUGGUAUGUGAGUCUGGACGUCAAGGAGGAUUGGGGCUGGAAUUGUAAAUUUGGGAGGCUGUUUAAAGCAUGAGGCUGGAAGAAGUCAUUCAAGGAGUGAGUACUCGUGGAGAGGAAGAGUCCUGUGGCCUGAAGCACAAUAUUUAAAAGACGAGGAGCCGAGGACAUGGAAGAGGACCAGCUGAUGCGGUGAGAGGAAGUACUCUGCUGGAAUGUGUGCUGGAUUUGGGGGACAGCUGGAGUUUGGCCCAGGCUUCGCUACAUCGCCCCCAUGCUGCCAAGGAGCCCAGAAGACCUUGACCAAGGGCAGGAUGAGUCAGGAGCUACAAGCAAUCUUCCAAGACCAUUUCCUGUGGCCUCCCCUCCCUGGCCUAGGACCAAAGCAGGACCGUGGAGACUGCCCCUCUUCCAUCCUCUAUUGCCUCUGAAUCGGUGAUACUGAUUUAAGGCACUCACACUGAAGCCUCCAUUUAUACUUGUUUAGAGUUCUUUGGAAAUAAGAAAAAACAUACAAUUGUUUCUAUUUCUCUGAAAAUAAGGGCAAUACUAGAUACCUAUUGCUUAAAAUAAAUAUUGUUG